AUUCCACAUUGCAUCUCCAGCAAUUGGCGUUACCUGAAUUACUAAACUUCUUAAUUUUACUGGGGACCAUAUACCACCUAUUUAUGAUUUUAAAAUGGCAUUCCACCAGAUUAAGGCAAUGGAUAUGUUUAUAGGUAAGAUUUAAAGCUUCUCUCCAUUGGUUACAAGUAAUCUGAUUUCCCAAAUCUCUUUGCCAAGAAUUAAUUAUAGCUUCUAGAGGUUCAUCUGAGUUUUUUUGUAAUAGGUUUAAUCCCAUAGAUAAUAGUUUUUUUGGAGAAUCCCUAUCAAGGAUGUUUCCUAUGUCCCUUAAGCGAUCACACCUUUCUGUGAUAACAUAUUGAUGACAAAAGCCUUUUAGUCUAAGGUAAUUGAAAGUCUCCUUAUUGUCUAUUUUAUAUGUUUGUUUUAAAGUUUGGAAAUCCAUCCAUCCGUUUCUAUCCAUUAAGUCUUGAAAUUUAUAUAUGCCUU